CAGACUGAAUUUUCAGGUGAAAUAUCCAGCCUGUCUUCUCCCACUCUCACAGAUAGUGUAUAUCCCAUAUCAAAACAGCUGAAACACUACAGGUACCCACAGUUUAAACAUCAUUAUAUCAUACUUCUAGACCCAACUCUGGUCCCAUUAUCCAAAGCACUUCAAACUAAGGCCAUCCUCCAAAAGGAGCUUGUCUUAUCUAUAGACUGUAUAUAGAAUACAAUCUAUAGAGUUUAUGGUCUCAUCCUAGAGGUCGCCACACAGAUAUAAAGAAGUUCUACCUUUUUUCUCCAUUUUAAAGCUUCAUUCUUUCUCUUCAAUCUGUAAUUCUGAUUUGAGAGUAACCUGUUAAACCUGUUUGAGCUUUAACUUCUGCAUCUGGAAAAGGCUUUCAGUUCUCUGAAAUCAUGAAAUGGGAGGCCAAACACCUUUACACAUCUCUCUGUUUCCCAAUGACCCAGGUAAAAACACAUCAUUUUACUUGGUUCACAAAGGGUGAAAAAUCCAACCCCCUGUCCACUCUGCCUACCCCCACCCACUAUCCCACCACCUCCCUCCUCCUCCUCCUCCUUCUUGUAUAUCCACAUCUUCCUGUCUGCUUUCCCUGACAACCUUGUUAACAAGUCUCCCGCUUUCUGAGCUUCUGCCAGUGAGGAAAUAAUAAACAGAUUAUUUCUUCAAAUCUACUCAACAUCAAACCUCUCUUUACUCAGCGCUGUGCUCGCUGUGGUUCACUUUGGCUCUCAUUAAUUUAAGAAAAUGACAUUCUCUUAGCUCCACAGUAACCGCACUAGUCUGGACCUUUUUAUUUACACUUCACUGAACCUGUUACUGGAUUCCAGGAGGAGUUAUUGGGCUCUAGGAGGAAAAACAGUACAUAGCACUUUGUUGCUGAAUAACUUUAAGACUUUUCUAGUUUACAUGACAAAGUCUCAAGUCUCAGUCAUUAUGAGAGUGAGAAUGGUUUGAUAUGAAAGCAAUGCGACUCUUGGCUGCUUUGAAAACCAUCAUUUAUGUUGGUAAACCAAAAGGGGGAAAGCCUGAAUUACGUUGAAUCUUUUACAACUCAUUUUAUACGAUAUGUUCUUGAUUUCCAACAAAGUUAGAAAUAUUGACUCUGAUAAGAUGUGAGUCCAUUCAUGUCCCCAAACCC